CUUGUCAUCUCGCACAUUGCUGCCCCUCAUAGAAAAUUGAAUGCCCGCGGGUUAGACUACUUCCCGCUUCACGUCCCCUCUCAGUGUUGUGUGAUGGCGAUGAGUUCACAGCACCGCCACCAUGGCAGCAGUGGCCUCUUCUUCAUCUCAUGGUUCAUGUCUUUGAAGCCUGUGAAACCGGGAGCAUAUUUGAGUGGCUUCUGCUGAAUGGCAUCGGCACCUAGAAAAAUAAAUGAAUAAAGGAAUGCAAGGACUAGCCCUUGGUAGCUUUGUUUUAUAGAAGAAGCACCUGGCGAGUCCAGGACUCGAACCAGGGCGGUUGCGUGAGCACCUGCAGUUAUAGCCACCAGAAUGACGCUCUGUUCUUGACAUUGGCAUCUACACGCGCACCGCUACAAACGCAAAGGAGAGCAGUUGGGUGAUGUACUACCCGGCGAGUAACCAGACCCUCCUUCAGAAUACGUCACAUGCUUGGAAGUAAGAGCGAGGGGUUGCUAUUCAUCUUAUCGUUGAAUGGGGAGGUCCAGGUAGGUGUAGCAGUUGCUCUCAAAUCUGCUAAAGUGGCCAAUAAAUUACACAAAGAAAUCAUUCAAGGAGAGCAGAGGAAUGAGCCCGAGUUACUGGCGCGUGGCAUAAGCAUGAUGAGCUGGCAAGCGGAUGUCAAUAGAUGCAAAGAGUGGAAGCCCACAACCUGGAUACUGAACAAUAGUUUAUCACUUCCAUGUUUCGUCUGAUUAUCGAGAAGGCACUACAUGGAUCUUAAAGUUGUGUUGAGAUACCUGAUACUGUUUGUACUAGUUAAAUGUGUUUAUAUCUUUGUUGGGCGUUCCGUAGCUCUAAUUAGUAGUUUCCAAUCUAGUGAGUUUUCCCUUCGAGUGGUUUUCUCUGUAAUAGUAGAAACCUGGAGCGAUAUCACUCACUAGUAGAAAAGUGAGUUCACAGAAGUGUCACUCAUUGGAAUCCUGUGUGUGCAAGGAACCUGGGCAUGUAUGCCACAAUUUGAGGAAUGAAAAUUAACUACCUUUAAAUUUAAAGAAAA